AGUUUGUAUCAUAUAAUUUCAGUAUAGCUAAUUUGUUUUGUUUUAAAUAUCAGGUUUCUUUCUCAGUCACAUAUGAAAUGGAUCAUGGAGAAGCACAUGUCCAGACAGAUAUUGCUUUGGGUGUAUUGGGUGGGCUAGCUGUUUUAGCAUCUCUUUUGAAGACAGCAGGAUGGAAGAGGCGCAUUGGGAGUCCCAUGAUUGAUUUACAGACAGUUGUGAAAUUCUUGGUGUACUAUGCUGGUGAUCUAGCCAAUGUUUUCUUUAUCAUCACAGUGGGAACAGGUCUUUACUGGCUUAUUUUCUUCAAAGCACAGAAGUCUGUGUCUGUUUUGCUGCCAAUGCCAGUUCAGGAAGAACGUUUUGUCACUUAUGUUGGAUGUGCCUUUGCUCUGAAGGCACUACAAUUUUUGCAUAAGCUCAUAUCCCAGAUUACAAUAGAUGUAUUCUUUAUUGAUUGGGAGCGACCUAAAGGAAAGGUUCUUAAAGCUGUUGAAGGUGAGGGUGGUGUACGAAGUGCCACUGUUCCUGUAAGCAUAUGGAGAACAUAUUUUGUAGCAAAUGAAUGGAA
rnacentral:sRNA from 1 species